AGGUGAGAUUCGUAAAGUUGUUAACAUGUUAUUAGUAAGAAAAAGAAAGGAUAUCGCCAAUUAAGCCCAACUAUAGCCCACGAUAAAUUUGGGCCUUCUUCCCACAAUAGUUUCUUAUUGUUUUGCGGACCGUGGUCCAUUAUCAACUCCCUGUCUAAAUCUGGAAAAUUUUGAAGUGAAUGGCGAGGGAUGGAACCUGAAAAAGGACCUGAACCCAAGAGGAGGAAAAUCCAUAGGCCACCGCCUCGCCUGUAAUGUCCUUUAUACCGCUCUCUGGUUCGGGGAAUGUCUUUCACCUGCUUUAAAGACUCCCAAAGAUGCAAAAUCGAGAAGUAAUUUGACAGUUCGAGGGUCACAAACAAGUGGUAUUAGUUUGAGAAUCCAACAAGCCAAAAACUUUGCAGUAGCUCAGGCAAAACAAGAUGGCAGCACUGGAAAUUUUAAGAAAUUUGAUCCACAGUAUCGGAAUUUUCUGGUGCCAGUUGUUCCAUCUCGAGCAGAACUAAUUGGAUAAGUACUUCUUGUACCUUAUUGAUUUUGAUCUAUUUUUAUCUACAGACAAUGGGAUCAUAAUAUUUCUAUAAACAAGUAGAUUAUGUUCUUAUCAGUUCUUGCUUGUACCAUAUGGUUAAGACACUACAAGAAAAUGACAUAUUAACGGUAAUUUUACAAGAUUUUUCACUUACAAACGUUGCUAAUUUUUGUGUUUUUAUAAAACUUAAAAUGUUUAUUAUCAAAAUAUCAUUAAAUAUUCAAAUAGCGGCGUUAUUACUUAUAAACGUCAC